CCCAGCAGCCAUGUCACCCUGCAGCUCACAACUGGCAGCUCACUGAAGCUAAGCAGGUGUGAGCCUGGUCAGUACCUGGAUGGGAGACCUCCUGGGAAAAAACUAAGGUUGCUGCUGGAA
ensembl:rRNA 5S_rRNA 5S ribosomal RNA